rnacentral:lncRNA from 1 species
CUCUGUUCAUCUUUUGUCAGCAGUUGGAAAGGAGGGUCAUUAUUGAUUUCUUUAUUUUUUUCAGCUAGCUUUUUUUUUAAAUUAUACUUUAAGUUCUAUGAUACAUGGACAGAGUGUACAGGUUUGUUACAUAGGUAUACACAUGCCAUGGUGGUUUGCUGCACCCAGCAAAUGAUAUCGACGUCAUCUACAUUAGGUAUUUCUCCUAAGGCUAACCCUCCCCUUGCCCCUCAGUGUCCAACAGGCUCCAGUGUGUGAUGUUCCUCUCCCUGUGCCCAUGUGUUCUCAUUGUUAAACUCCUACUCAAGUAUGAGAACAUGUGGUGUUUGGUUUUCUGUUCCUGUGUUAGUUUGCUGAGAAUGAUGGUUUACAGUUUCAUCCAUGUCCCUGCAAAGGACAUGAACUCAUCCUUUUUUAUGGCUUCAUAGUAUUCCAUGGUAUAUAUGUGCCACAUUUUCUUUAUCCUGUCUAUCAUUGAUGGGCAUUUGGGUUGAUUCCAAGUCUUUGAUAUUGUGAAAAGUACUGCAAUAAACAUAUGUGUGCAUGUGACUUUAUAGUAGAAUGAUUUAUACCCAGUAAUGGGAUUUCUGGGUCAAAUGGUAUUUCUGGUUCCAGAUCCUUAAGGAAUCAACACACUGUUUUCCAUAGUGGUUGAACUCUGUAACAUCUGCCCAGAAAAGAAAGAGUGGGUAAUCCAAGAUAAAUUUUACUGGAUCAGUACUAUUUUGAACUUUGAUUUUCUUUUGCUGUAGCAGAUACUGAAGAAUACCUUUUCUCUUUCAGAACAUUUUAUGGGAGAUAUCCUCAAAUUGCUCAUCAUCACUUACCUACUGCACUCUACGAUGCUGUUCCUCUGCCUGAAGCAUCUCUCAGCACCUGGUGAACCCAAAUGUUGUCGCCUCAGACAGACCUUUUUUGACUCUUAUCUGAUGUUGACUAUAACCAUUCCACCUGUUUGCUAUCAUAGGAGCUAGCUUCAAUUUCUUUUUAAAAUGUAGCAGUACUUGGAAUAACCUAACAUGUGUAUUAUAAAACAUAAGAAUGUUAGACCCUUAAUAGCAAAAAAUUUAUCUCUCUUACUCACUGCUCUUUUUCCAGAACCUGGAUGUUAUCUGGAAUAUAGUAUGCCCUUACUGAACAUUUGUUUAGUAAAUAAAUGUAUUAAUUUAUCUAUAUAAUUGAAUCUAUCACAUAUUUUUUAAAAUAUGAACCAAAGUUAAUCUGAAACUCUGACUGUGAAAAAAGUCCUGGAUUAUAUUCCUUUAACAUAGAAUUUUUCAUUAUUUCUUAACUAUACUUUGCCCUUUGUCAUAUGUUAUUUUUUUUUCCGUAGAGCUUUGUAUUCCUUUGGUUCCAUCACUUUUCUUUGAAGAACUCUUAUAUAUCAUUUCUUGGACUAAAUUAGGAAAACUAUUCUGUGAUCUUACAAGGUUUGAAAUGCUAAUCAGAUAAAAAAGUUGACUUCAGAUUUUUUUUUAAAUCAGUAUCUCAGCUAUUUAGCUGCUUAAGAGUCAAAAGGUACAUCAUUAUAAUAUACUCAUAUUCAUCAGGAUGAAAUUUAUUUGUCAUGUUGUGACAUGUCUUUCAAAUUCAUGUUUGAAGAAGUUUCACCUGUCAGAACUUGAUUGAGGAAGGGGAGAAGGCAUUUGAAAAGAGUUUUCAAGCUCUGAAGUUCUUCUUAGUCACAGCUCAUUGCUUGUAACCUUAUUUGUCACUUGGCAUGCAUUUUUGUUACCCUCCCUCUUUUUAUUUUAGUGCCAACAUGCUGGGCCAGCUGUCCCACCGUCAUUUAGAGUACCACCAUCCAUGCAGUAGAGAUAAAAACACUCUUUUUAAAUAUCAGUGUUAGAAAGAAUGAGAUAUUUAUAGAAAUUAAUAAGGAAGUAAAAAAAAUUGGUUUUUAAAAAUCCUUAAGUGUAUAAAUGUAUUUUUGAUAGCAGGGUAUCUUAUGUCAACAGCCUGUUUCACUUGGAAAAAAACCUUUGACAGUCUUUAUCCUUUGGUUGUCUAAUAGUAUUCUGUCAGGAGUAAAUUGGGUUUCUGGUAACACAUUUGCUUUAAAACAGCAUAAAACCUAAUGACUGUAUCAAGCUAUGUAUGCCAGGAUAAUUGCUUAAAUUUGGAUUUCCGAUUCUCUUACUCAAUCAAAGGCCAUGCGUUGAAUGUGGCAGACCAGACAAUGAAGUUAUUUUUCAUUUUGUGGAUAGAUACAAACUGUGUUCCAGGCUACUCUCCUCUCUGACAUCUGAUUAUUUCAGCAGUGAUAAUGACCAGCAUUUUCCAAUCUUAUACUGCAUUACAUAGCACAAAACUUACAAACUAUAGUAUGACAAAUGUUAGGCAUAAACCAACUUGAAGAUGGCUUUUUUUGAAGAUAAAAGACUUCUUAGCCAUGUGCUAAACUCAGUUUUUUAAAAAAAGUAUUAUUAUACUUUAG